CUCAGUUCGGAUUGGAGUCUGCAACCCGACUCCAUGAAGCUGGAUUCGCUAGUAAUCGCGCAUCAGCCACGGCGCGGUGAAUACGUUCCCGGGCCUUGUACACACCGCCCGUCAAGCCAUGGAAGCCGGGAGUGCCUGAAGUGCGUGACCGCAAGGAGCGUCCUAAGGCAAUACCGGUGACUGGGGCUAAGUCGUAACAAGGUACC
rnacentral:rRNA from 1 species